GAAAUGCGAUAAGUAAUGUGAAUUGCAGAAUUCAGUGAAUCAUCGAAUCUUUGAACGCACAUUGCGCCCCCUGGUAUUCCGGGGGGCAUACCUGUUCGAGCGUCAUUUCACCACUCAAGCCUCGCUUGGUAUUGGGCGACGCGGUCCGCCGCGCGCCUCAAAUCGACCGGCUGGGUCUUUCGUCCCCUCAGCGUUGUGGAAACUAUUCGCUAAAGGGUGCCGCGGGAGGCCACGCCGUAAAACAACCCCAUUUCUAAGGUUGACCUCGGAUCAGGUAGGGAUACCCGCUGAACUUAAGC
rnacentral:misc_RNA from 1 species